rnacentral:tRNA from 1 species
GGCGGGUACCGCUCAAGGGGGCAAUCGGUCUUGAAAACCGAGGUGAGGUGACACUCAGGCGUUCGAUUCGUCUACUCGCCGCCA